UAAGCACUAGUGACCAUAAAAAUAUUUGGCUCUACUAUGUUUGCAUACAAACAAUUUAUUUGGCAUGCUCGCCUGCAAUGCAUUUCUUAUCAUCUAGCGUAUACAAAUGCUCUGUACUCAUGUAAAAAGUGGUGGUCGCAAUUAAACAUGGAAUUUAGUUAGCAUAUAUUUUGGUGUGACAUAACUAAGCUUGACAUGGUCAUCCUAUCUAUCUAUAUCUCUUAUAAAGCAAAAUCCCACUAUGGAUUCAUUUAAGUUGUCUAUCUCCACAUGCAGCCUGUCCACAUCAUCUAUUUAUAGCCGCUUGAUUCUGAUCAUCCUAUUGAUUCCCGAUCGUCCGAUCACAUGCCUACUCAAAGUGUAUGUGUCAAUUUCUGCCACCACAACCUGAUGACUGAUCUGCUUCCAACACGCUAUGCAGAAUUGUUUUGCUUAUGCGUCAGUCUACCUCCCUCAAUGUCAGUUGAUGCUACUAAAUGGUAACCGAGUGCAUGGUUGAUCUUCUCUCAGCUGGCAAUCAAUUUAUCAUACUAGCAUCACCGCAUGAUAACAUGGAGUUUUACUGGUGACGUUGUGCCUCCCACGUCCCUUCACUUCCCAUCCCAUGAACCUUAAUAUUUGAGGCUUUUUACGGUAGGGAUUAACAAAUACCAACUGUUCCAACUAACAAAUUGGAUGGUUCAGAUUUAUCAAUACUUGUUGAUUGGAGUAGUAGUAUAUUUUCAGCGAAGGGCAAACUGGGUACAUGCAAAAAUAGAAAAGGGAAGAUCUUGCAUGUAUGGCAGACUAGAUUGUUGAUAUUUCGGCAACGCAACCAUGUAAUACAAGAACAUAACUACUAUACUAAAGCGUAACAGGUUCGAUUUUUCUCCUAAAUUUGAGUUAUUUUUUGGAUUAAUGUGAUGCUGACACGUCUCUGUUUGAUAGUUUGAUUACCACUGGGUUUUUUAUGUGUACAGUUUCGGUGCCCUCUAAGAAUUUUUUUCGUUUAGCCGUCUCUCUUCUCUUCUUCUUUAAUGCUGCAUCGUGUGACUUUAGCAUUUUAUGGUGGGCCAGCUGAUCUCCUCAAUUCUUGCGUGAUGGCCUUGGUCUUGAGGCGCCGCUUUGACCUGCUGCUUUGUCUCUCCUUUAUUUUAUUUCUCUAGAAGACUCCCGUCGAGUGAGUGCCACGUCCUCCGUCAUCUUCAUUGUCUCGCCAUGCUCUACCUCUGCCAUAUUCCCCUGCUCUGGAUUCUUCCCCUACAUGAGUUCUUCCGUGGCCGGGUACUCCAUCGCCUGGUCAGCGGACUUGCUUUUAGGUUUUCCGACGCCGUGGUCAUCGCCGAGGCCGCUCCGUCCGUCCGUGAUUCAGCAGACCAGUUCGGUUGGCGCUCUAGCCUCUCCCUCUUCCGCUCCAUCAGGUGGGCACAAGGUGCUGCUCUAGAUCUCCUCCCGAUGGGCCGUGGCAUGGAUUGGGUCCUCUGACGUCCCAGCCGUGCUGAUUCGUCCGCCGUCUUAUCUCGAGAGGGGCUUGGGGUGGAGGCGACGCCGUGGCAUGGAGGCGGGGCGGCGAGCAGGGAGAGGCAAGGAUGGUGAUGCUCUCGCCCACCACGGUCCGACGGCCACCGGUGGUUACGCCCGUCGGGCGUCCAUACGUCGGCUCCAUGGCUACUUCUGUCAGCCGGCGUGCGUCGGGGUUUGCUAGCAGUUUCGGGCGGUACCAGCAGCGGCGGGGUUCGGGUGAGCACCACAGAAGGACGGGAGAGCUCCUUCCCCUGCUAGAACGUUGAGCAACUGCAUGUCCUGGUGAGGAUGAAGACUAGCUGGAGGACUUGGUUUUGGUCUAAGAGGUAGAGCAUGAAGGCCACUGCGCAGAAGUUGCGCAACCAAAGUAAGGUGGUUUACCAAAUAAUUGACCUUGCUGAUGAUUAUUUUCUUGAAAGGUGAGCUAUGAUUGAAUCACAUGGUGCUCUAUCAGAUUAGAAGGUGUAAUUAGUUGUCUUUGUUUCCUUCAUGUUCAUUCAAUUGGUUUACUUACAAGCUACCAUUAUUUUUUCAUCGCAUUAUAAUAUAUAUUAUUAGCUAUUCUGACUUGUGAGUUCAUGUUUGUCGAAGGAAGUUGGAUGCAGUGGACUCUAACUUGGCUCAUGAGAAUCUUACUGAUAUGCAAAUAAACGAGUUAUUUUGAAUUGAGUGAUUGCACAAACUAUGUAGGAUGUUACAACCAGAAGUAAAUAAAUUAUUUUGAAAAACAUGUACUAUGUAUGAUCACAACUCGCCAUACAAUCAUUUCAUUGUAAAUUAUAAUGCAUGAUACAAAUGCUACAAAAUGACAUGUACAGUAUUUUUCAGCUGACACUAAAUGUUGCAGCCUACGUUGUCUCCAAACUUCCAUUUUAUCACUCUUACUACAUCGAUAUCUUUGAGUUAGCUUCUCCAAUUCAGUUGUUGUGGCUUUCUUUGUCAAUAAAAAUGCCUUAAUUCUGCGAUUAGAUGUUUUUGAUACAUAGGAUUGUGAAGUUUUUGUUGGACAUUAUCUUCUUGUGGUCCAUACUGGAAACGAUGAUGACCGUCUCUGGCUCUUCUGCUUAUUUUUUUUUUGAUAAUGAUCUGAUGUUACUUGAGUGCAGUGUCGCGGAUUUGGGCGAUCGGGAUUUUCUUUGUGAGGUGCUGCACUGCGUUGUGACCUGCGUUUUCUUUGGUCGGGGUUUGAUUUGGGUCAUCGUCUUGCCGGUUAAUUUUCCUCGAUCUUUUGCUUUUUUUGCUUCUUUGCUCGGAUUAUUUGAGUGUUGCUUUUUGAUUCUGUAAAAAGAUUUUCCCCUUGUGCACGUUGUUGGACUAGGCUGCUACUUUUAUGAGUGAUCCACAUUUUGCUGGCUAUCGUCGAGGUGUCUCUCCUUCUGCCUCAAGAUGGUCUAUUUGCCUUACUGAUUCUGAAUUCAGACAGUUAUUGUAGAAGAUACAUGUUUCAGACAUAAUGUCUAAGAUUGCAGAUUUGCUUCUCCCCUUGCUGUCAGUUCAUCUACCGCAGCAUCAAAUUCUGAUUCCAUGUGGACUUGUUUAAACAUGAAUAGCAAUGAUAGAUUUAAUUCGCUCCCGACGACGAUCAAGAACUCACCAUGCUGACAAGAUUGUUCUACCAUUGUCAUAUCUAAAGACAGGUACCUAGGCUUCACAUUAUUCUUCAAUAGAAUAGCUGGCAGCUUAUUCAAUCCUGCAUCAGCUUUCCUCCCAAGAUUCCUUACUUCUUCUUACUGUUGGCAAAUUAAUUUCCGAGGAAAACAGUGGCCUUCUUUUCCUUAUUAUGUGAGUCAUUGUUCAACGAUUUACUCUCCUAAAACAAAGCUAAGUAUCAUUCCCGAAACAGGGCCAAUUGUUCAAUUCUGCAUUUCCUGUCACCGAAGAUAAAGAGUUAUUUUGUAAGUGCCAACAUCUCCACCAAAGAGAAGCUUUGAAAUCAUAUCAUUGUUGUACUGACUUGAAGGACUAGAACCCAGUCAGUAAGUAAGCUACUGAAUUUGCUAUCCAUAGGCAAGGUCCAAUGUUAUUUUAAGCGGUGUCAAAGACCUCUACCUUUUGAACAAACCACCAUCCCACAAGUGAUAAGUGGGAAUCAGAUCCAAGCUUACACGUCGGUCGGUGGGUAAUGAGAGCAUACUAUAUUGUCUUGCAAAGUGCUUGCAACAGAAUUAUGCAUUUAGAGUUCUUCAGUUGCAGGCUCGAGGUGAUGAUACCAUACAUUGUUUUGCAUGCCGCAGCAUAUGUUAUUUGUCAAAACGUACUAGAGAAACAAGAUUGAAUUAAUAGCUCAAUCAGUUUUUAGUUUGCAAGGCUAAACGUAGUGCUCUAAAGUAUUCAUGAAUUUCUGCUAAAAGUCCGUCUCUCUCCAUUCUUUUCUGUUUCCAUAUGUGUGUAUGUAUCUCUAUGCUUGAUGGAUUCACUUGCACGCAGGUUACAGGGACAAUUUACACUUAUUAAGUUAAGGAUAUCUUGCUUCGAGCCCAUCAAUGGAAAUAUUCUAUGUGCAUCAGCAGCGACGGCUCUGCCUGCUCUGCCCAUCAACAGCCAUUCAGAUUAGAGUCGCAGAUGAUCUGCCCCCUCUAUAGUUUAGCUCAAGCCAAUGUACAAACCUGCAGAACAGCCCCAUCUGUUUCAGGCCAGCGGGAAGAUGUAUCGGCGCCCUCUAAACCAUGUAAUGUUGUCGUCUGGCCCACUCCGGUGAACUGGCAUAUUCUCCAUAUAAUCCAGUGUGAAUGUUGUUAUUCACCUAAGUAUCCCUGCUUAUAUUAUGCAUGCCUCAAC